rnacentral:tRNA from 3 species
GUACCCUUAGCUCAGUUGGUUAGAGCAGACGGCUCAUAACCGUCCGGUCGUAGGUUCGAGUCCUACAGGGUAUA